rnacentral:rRNA from 1 species
CCCCUAGAUGUUCUGGGCCGCACGCGCGCUACACUGAACAGUUCAACAAGUCUUAACCUUGGCCGAUAGGUCUGGGUAAUCUUUGAACGCUGUUCGUGAUUGGGAUAGACCUUUGCAAUUAUGGGUCUUCAACGAGGAAUUCCUAGUAAACGCAAGUCAUCAGCUUGCAUUGAUUACGUCCCUGCCCUUUGUACACACCGCCCGUCGCACCUACCGAUUGAAUGGUCGGUGAAAUCUCGGGACGGCGGCUUGGUCGCUUGCGUCCGACUGCUGAAACUUGAUUAAACCAUAUCAUUUAGAGGAAGGUGAAGUCGUAACA